AGCGAACGCUGGCGGCAGGCCUAACACAUGCAAGUCGAACGAACCUUUCGGGGUUAGUGGCGGACGGGUGCGUAACACGUGGGAACGUGCCCUUAGGUUCGGAAUAACUCAGGGAAACUUGUGCUAAUACCGAAUGUGCCCUUCGGGGGAAAGAUUUAUCGCCUUUUGAAUGGCCCGCGUUUGAUUAGCUAGUUGGUUGGGGUAAUGGCUCACCAAGGCGACGAUCAGUAGCUGGGCGGAGAGGAUGAUCAGCCACAUGGGGACUGAGACACGGCCCAGACGCGUACGGGAGGCAGCAGUGGGGAAGAUUGGACAAUGGGCGAAAGCCUGAUCCAGCAAUGCCGCGUGAGUGAUGAAGGCCGUAGGGUUGUAAAGCGCUCUUACCCGGGAUGAUAAUGACAGUACCGGGAGAAUAAGCUCCGGCGAACUCCGUG
rnacentral:rRNA from 1 species